UACGUAGGGUCCGAGCGUUGUCCGGAAUUAUUGGGCGUAAAGAGCUCGUAGGCGGUGUGUCGCGUCGGCCGUGAAAACCUGCAGCUUAACUGUGGGCUUGCGGUCGAUACGGGCAUCACUGGAGUUCGGCAGGGGAGACUGGAAUUCCUGGUGUAGCGGUGAAAUGCGCAGAUAUCAGGAGGAACACCGGUGGCGAAGGCGGAUCUCUGGGCCUUACCUGACGCUCAGGCGCGAAAGCUAGGGGAGCGAACAGG
rnacentral:rRNA from 1 species